GAUGAACGCUGGCGGCGUGCCUAAUACAUGCAAGUAGAACGCUGAAGGAAGGAGCUUGCUCUUUCCGGAUGAGUUGCGAACGGGUGAGUAACGCGUAGGUAACCUGCCUGGUAGCGGGGGAUAACUAUUGGAAACGAUAGCUAAUACCGCAUAACAGUAGAUGUUGCAUGAUAUCUACUUAAAAGGUGCAAUUGCACCACUACCAGAUGGACCUGCGUUGUAUUAGCUAGUUGGUGAGGUAACGGCUCACCAAGGCGACGAUACAUAGCCGACCUGAGAGGGUGAUCGGCCACACUGGGACUGAGACACGGCCCAGACUCCUACGGGAGGCAGCAGUAGGGAAUCUUCGGCAAUGGACGGAAGUCUGACCGAGCAACGCCGCGUGAGUGAAGAAGGUUUUCGAAUCGUAAAGCUCGGUUGUAAGAGAAGAACGAGUGUGAGAGUGGAAAGUUCACACUGUGACGGUAUCUUACCAGAAAGGGACGGCUAACUACGUG
rnacentral:rRNA from 1 species